rnacentral:lncRNA from 1 species
AGGCAAUUUGAUAUCAUAAUAGAGCACUGCAGACACAAUGCUGAGUGAAGAGGAGUAGAAAUGGGAAGACUUGGUUGAGCAGAAACUGAAUUCUUGAAAAGAGGAGAUGCUCGAUGAGGGAUCAGACUGUAUUCCCCAGGCUGGAGUGCAGUGGCAUGAUCAUGGCUCAAUGCAGCCUAAACCUCCUGGACUCAGGUGAUCCUUUCACCUCCACUUCCUGAGUAGCUGGGACUACAGGCAUGGAUUCCUGAGGUCUGCCCCAAUACUACAAGACAAUUUGAUAUAAGAAAACACAGCAGAUACAAUGCUGAGUGAAGAAGAGUAGAAAUGAGAAGAUUGGUUGUGCAGAUACUGAGUUC